rnacentral:rRNA from 1 species
UACGUAGGGAGCAAGCGUUGUCCGGAUUUAUUGGGCGUAAAGAGCUCGUAGGCGGCUUAGAAAGUCAGGUGUGAAAACUCUGGGCUUAACCCAGAGACGCCACUUGAUACUUCUAUGGCUUGAGUUCGGUAGGGGACCAUGGAAUUCCUGGUGUAGCGGUGAAAUGCGCAGAUAUCAGGAGGAACACCGAUGGCGAAGGCAGUGGUCUGGGCCGAUACUGACGCUGAGGAGCGAAAGCGUGGGGAGCGAACAGG